CCGAUUUCAUUAUUAUUAAUAUGGCAAGCUAAAACCUUAGCAGCCGAGGAUGGCUCAUGGACUUGGACGUCAGAAUGGCAGCAAGCUUAAUAACACCUUUUUUCCGAGCUACGUAUAGUCCAUUCCACCACGGGACUUUGGAAUCUCACUUCAGCGGAUCGGGACUAAUGAAGAUGUCCUUGUAUUUCCUUUGAUAAUUAAUGGACAUCGGGAGGAGGAAGUUUGCAUUCCCUCACUUUUGACGGGUUCCUUCUCAAGACGGAGGAGUGCAGUGACUCAACUCCUUUCACGCCAUUCCUUCCUUCGGAAUAACUACAGUUUUUCGCUAUUUCAUAUAUAGAUAAUUGUCAUUAUUAUUAAUAGUUAACUAUCUUAAUCAUUUCUUGUUAAUUGUUAAUUAAAUAUAAUUUGAAGCCUAAAA